AUUCGUAUUAUAUCUUAUGAAUUUGUAAAAUGUAAAAUAUGUUAUGAAUUUGCAAAAUGUUUGAUAUGUUACAAAUUCUAGCUAGGUGGCAAACAUUAGCUAGGCUAGGGGUUAGUGUUAAGUUUAGGAGUUAGGUUAAUGGGUUAAGUUUAGAGUCAUGUGAAUGGUUAGCUAAAAGGGUUAAGGUUAAGGGUUAGCUGACAUACUAACUAGUUGCAAAGUAGCUAAAAAAGUAGUAAGUAGUUGAAAAGUUUAUAAUUAGCCAAAAUUGUGCGGACGAGAUUCAAACUCACAACCUUUGGGUUGCUAAACUAACCAGCCACCUUCCUUUUGUUGCUUUCUGUCCAAAAAAUGAUGCAGAAAAAUUAAUCCAUGCUUUUUUUACUUCUAGGUUAGACUACUGCAAUGCUCUACUUUCCGGCUACACGGAUAACGCACUAAAUAAACUUCAGUUAGUGCUAAAUACGGCUGCUAGAAUCCUGACUAGAACCAAACAAUUUGAUCAUAUUACACCAGUGCUAGCCUCCCUACACUGGCUUCCUGUCAAGGCAAGGGCUGAUUUCAAGGUUUUACUGCUAACCUACAAAGCAUUACAUGGGCUUGCUCCUACCUAUCUCUCUGAUUUGGUCCUGCCGUACAUACCUACACGUACGCCACGGUCACAAGACACAGGCCUCCUAAUUGCCCCUAGAAUUUCUAAGCAAACAGCUGGAGGCAGGGCUUUCUCCUAUAGAGCUCCAUUUUUAUGGAAUGGUCUGCCGACCCAUGUGAGAGACGCAAACUCGGUCUCAACCUUUAAGUCUUUACUUAAGACUCAUCUCUUCAGUGGGUCAUAUGAUUGAGUGUAGUCUGGCCCAGGAGUGUGAAGGUGAACGGAAAGGCUCUGGAGCAACGAACCGCCCUUGAUGUCUCUGCCUGGACAGUUCCCCUCUUUCCACUGGGAUUCUCUGCCUCUAACCCUAUUACAGGGGCUGAGUCACUGGCUUACUGGUGCUCUUUCAUGCCGUCCCUAGGAGGGGUGCGUCACUGAUGUGAUCUUCCUGUCUGGGUUGGCACCCCGCCCUCCCCCCUUUGGGUUGUGCCGUGGCGGAGAUCUUUGUGGGCUAUACUCGGCCUUGUCUCAGGAUGGUAAAUUGGUGGUUGAAGAUAUCCCUCUAGUGGUGUGGGGGCUGUGCUUUGCGAAGUGGGUGGGGUUAUAUCCUUCCUGUUUGGCCCUGUCCGUGGGUAUCAUCGGAUGGGGCCACAAUGUCUCCUAACCCCUCCUGUCUCAGCCUCCAGUAUUUAUGCUGCAGUAGUUUAUGUGUCGGGGGGCUAGAGUCAGUUUGUUAAAUCUGCAGUAAUUCUCCUGUCUUGUCCGGUGUCCUGUGUGAAUUUAAGUAUGUUCUCUCUAAUUCUCUCUUUCUCUCUUUCUUUCUCUCUCUCUGAGGACCUGUGCCCUAGGACCAUACCUCAGGACUACCUGGCUUAAUGACUCCUUGCUGUCCCCAGUCCACCUGGCUGUGGUGCUGCUCCAGUUUCAACUGUUCUGCCUGUGAUUAUUAUUAUUUGACCAUGCUGGUCAUUUAUGAACAUUUGAACAUCUUGGCCAUGUUCUGUUAUAAUCUCCACCCGGCACAGCCAGAAAAGGACUGGCCACCGCUCAUGGCCUGGUUCCUCUCUAGGUUUAUUCCUAGGUUUUGGCCUUUCUAGGGAGAUUUUCAUAGCCACCGUGCUUCUACACCUGCAUUGCUUGCUGUUUGGGGUUUUAGGCUGGCUUUCUGUACAGCACUUUGAGAUAUCAGCUGAUGUACGAAGGGCUAUAUAAAUCAAUUUGAUUUGAAUUGUUGCUGCAACCAUCUGUCUUAUGUAACCAUAAAUGGAGUGUCUCGGAUUUACUUACAGAAUAAUAUGAAAUGCUCUGAGACCAGGCUGCAACUGUUUCCCGUAUGUAUCAAGAAUGGUACACCAGUCAACGGACAUGCAGCCAACUUGACACAACUGUGGGAAGAGUGUGGAGUCGACAUGGGCCAGCAUCCCUGUGGAACGCUUUUGACACAUUAUGGAGCCCAAACCCCGAAGAAUUACGGAUGUUCUGAGGGCAAAAGGGGAAAGCAACUCAAUAUUGGGAAGGUGUAAUGUUUCGUAUAUUCAGUGUAAGUUCACAAUACAAUCCUUUGACUUGAAUUCAAGAGUUUGAAUACAACAGUGUCAGCAUUAUUCUAUUAUUACGCAUGCCACUUUGCCCAAAUUAUUUCGAGGUCUCUACAGUGUCCAUACCCCAUUGAUUGGGGAGCAUCUUACCUAAACCUGUCCACAUUGAUACCAUGCGCAAAUAGUUUAUCUCCAACGAAACCGAAAGAAAGUGAAAAUGUGAUUGAUCGCGGAAGUUUUUCUCGACUUGAUGGGACUGGAGAUUGGUGAAAUCCUAAGCCCACCGCCAGCAACCCAUGACGGAGAAGGAAACUAAAGACGCCAACGGGGAUUCAGUAAUGUUGGUAACCACGCAUCUUCGGGAAAACCACUGCACAUCCUGGGUCCGCUUGCCAACGCUUUGACUUUUUUCAUUAAACCAUAUUUAAACAACCACAUAGGCGACUUACCGUUUGGAUACAAUGUACGCAGCCCUACCAUGAAUAACUCUCACCGCUCUUGCUGGCCCCCGAGGACAGGGAUUUGCUCGUCUGAAGAACAUCUUAUAGAAAAUGAUAAAUGUGUGUGAACGGGCCUGUGCUCCGUAGCGUCGUGGUGUUUCUGCUGUUGGGUGUCUCCUACACUAAGCACAGGUGCAACUAUUCGGAGAUACUCGGCUCAUACAGAGAACUCAUCUUCGUUGAACUUCAGAAUUUGAAUCUGACUGGCAAUUUUGACACAUCCAAAGAGAGGGACCAUUGUCCCUCAGGAAAGGUGCAGCACGUUUUGCGCUCCAUCCAUGGUAUGACUCAGCAGUUCCUGUGCCAGGGCCGCAGGCAGGGCAUUAGACAACAGGGGGACAUGGAGAAACCAGUGGAGAUGAUGGAACAGCUGAUCAGACAGAACUGCAAACACACUAACCUGGUGAGAGGACAGAAGAGAGCCGCCCCGUGUGUGACUUCCCAGAGAACGAAGGGAAAGAAGAAGAGGAUAAGACUCGUCAGGGCACUGAUAAACUGUUGGCAGAAGCUGCAGAGUGUUUACUGGCCCACAAAAUGAAUGGGAAAUACUAUGUUUUUCUUUUUCCCAAUCGUUAAAAAAAAAGCAUGUAUGGAUUGUGUUUAGUUUGGUUCUCAUUUUGUAUAGUAGAACCACAGUUGUACGUCAGGGAUGGUGCUCUCUGUUUAUGACCUUUCUUCUUAGUCUGUAGUUCCUCAUCUAUAAACUACAGAUCAUCUGAAUUAAAGGUAGACUCAGCGAUAUGACGUAGAUGCAGAAAGUAAACAGCAUUGUAGGUCAACUUCCACAACAACGUAGAGCAGUGAAACGCAAGGCUCAAAUUCUCUACUGUUCUGGUGACCUGGCUACCACACUGUGAACAGCUGAUCACAUGCACAGAUAUUGCAGAAAGGCUGCAUCUCGCUCAUCUCAAUAUCUCCGGUGCUGCUCGAGGCGAUGACAUUUUGCUGACUCUACCUUUAAUAAUGGUUGUUAGAGGAUGGUAUACAAUGCAAUUCAAAUAUUUACUUGUAAUACUUUGUGCACAUACAAAAUAUAUUGUCUCAAAAUCGAGAGAUCCCUUUUCUUAAACAUAUAUUUGGUGCUGUUCUAUGAAAUUAAUCAGUUAUUCAAGCUGCCCACAGCUAAUAAAGGUUUCUCAAACUA